rnacentral:rRNA from 1 species
AUGGGGCACUCUCAGACCGGUGCAGCCAUGGGGGCGGUCUCAACUGCCAGGGGAUGGAUCGUUGGCACUUGGCAGCAAGAAAGCAGAGAAACCAGAAACCCAGUCAUAGAUAGGAGGUCAGCAGGUGGCUAUAUAGAGACUUCGCUACUGUGGUCAUGCUGGGCAUCAGUUUGUCCUGUGAGUGGUGGAGAUGAUGGGAAGAGGGGUGACGAUGAUGGAUCGGCAGAGAAAAGGAUUCAGGAAUACUUCCCCAUGGCUUUUCUGCUGGUACAGAUCAUUCCUUUCCCUUUGUCUUUGAUGCUCUGUACUUUCUGCUGA